ACGUGGAGUUACCAAAAGUCCCAAAUAAAUAGACAAUUAAAGACCACUAGCAAUGUCCCUCCAGCACUUGUCAAGAAUAAACUUAAAGAUUAUUUAUCAAGCAGAAUUUACAGAAGACCAUUUUAUUCUGUCUUUCCAUGUUCAACAAAGACACCAAGUACUGAAGAAACUCAAAUGGUAAAGACCU